rnacentral:tRNA from 1 species
UCGGGAUAGCUCAGCCGGUAGAACAG